rnacentral:lncRNA from 12 species
UUUUAUUUAUUCAUGAGAAACACACAGAGAGAGGCAGAGGCAUAAGCAGAGGGAGAAGCAAGCUUCUUGCAGGGAAGCUGAUGUGGGACUCGAUCCCACGACCCGAGGAUCACACCCUGAGCCGAAGGCAGAUGCUCAACCACUGAGCCACCCAGGCUCCCUGACGUUAGUCUUUUAUGCAAAGUGGUGUCUUAUAAUAGAACAACAAGCUAUAGCCUCCAGUGACCAUAUCUAAAAUCCCCAAGUUCUGCUUUAGGCAUCUGUCUCACAUCCAGUGAACUGUAGAAAUAAAAUCGGAGGGAAUUUGGCCUUCAGGUUAUAGGGCUGGAAAACGCUUUGAGAGGCCUUCUGGUUGGAUUACUUCUAAACCCUCCCUGACAGAUGAAAAUUUAUCUUAUUUUUAAAUGUUCCCCAGAGAAACAGUGUCCACCGACUCCCUUGGUAACUCAUUCUAGUUUUUAACGACCUCCACAUUCAGGAAAUUCCUUCUUCUGACUUACCUAAACCGGCUCUGCUGCAGCUUAGGUCCAUUUGCUUUUGACCUGCCCCAGAGAAACAGAAAAGAGGUCAUCCCUUUGCAUAAACAUCCUUUCACGUGACUAAAAAUUAAUUCUUAAGAUGUAAAAAGUUCUGUAUCUCCUCGCCCUGAUCACAUCAAAUCCCUCUACUUCCUUUAGCUUUCCUUCAGGGGUUCCACCUCCCAGGCUCUUACUCCUCUUUGCUGUGGUCUCAGAAACUCUCUCUGUGGUCUAGAGUCAUGGCUGUGGGCUGGUGGAGAAGAGAGAACGUGGCAAUGCACUCAUUUCCUCAUUUCCUUGGUUUGCCUGUGCCAGAGCUGAUGUCAGAGGCUAAAUGCAACAGAUCACAGAAGAAGCCAGAGUUGCUUGUCAAUCAUCAUGAAGAAUGAGUUCAUAGCAAAGCAGGGGACAGUACUGAUCCUUAGAGGGAGUCCCAGAGCCCUCUAGGACUCCAUGUGGCUUCUGGGACUGCACAUUUUCAUCCAAUUCUGUUCUUAUUUAUUAAAGGAUGCCUUGCCAGGCCAGGCAGUAGUCUAAGUACCAGGGUUACCAUAGAGAAUAAAAAAAGAAAAAAUCACUGCCCUCA